GUGUCAGUAGCUCAGUUGGUAGAGCAAUCGCUUGUGGAGCGAUCGGUCAACGGUUCGAGUCCGUUCUGACACC
rnacentral:tRNA from 1 species